ensembl:lncRNA
CCGCCGCGGCGAGAGCAGCUGCCCACGGGCACUCAGCGCGGCGCCGGGCGGGCACUAAGCCCCGGCGGGCGGCACGGCCCCUUCUCCCCGCCCCUCUCCCGCAACUUUCUGGGUGCUCCUCCGGCACCCAUGGCAACGCGCAUGAGCCUUCCCCCACCGCCGGGCCGGGGGGAAGGAAUUAACUGGCGAAAUUAAUCCUUUCCCCUAAACGGUGCAGGAAUGACCCGCUCUCAGUGUCGCGCCUGGCGUCCCUGCGCGGAGGGGAGCGGGCAGCAGCAAGUGCCGAGGUGCGGACCGUGGCCAGGUCCCUCCUGAGGAGCUGGAGCGGACAGGAACGCGAGCAGCGCCCCGGGGCUGGCGGGGAGCACUGAUUGCUCGGGGCUCUUCCACCUGUCUUUAGGAGAUGCGUUUCAAGAUGGGCUUCCAUGGGGAGAAUGGUGCUUCUGCGCGCAACGAACGAGUGGUGUUCAAGAAAGAAGCAAUGUUUCAGAGAUGUUACCAUGGAAACAAUGGAGUGAGGAAGCAGCUAAACAUAAAAGUAAGUCAUCUAUCAGUAAAACCAGAGACAUGCUUUAGGGUAACUUGAAAUUAUAAAAUAGAUAAUUAAUUGAGCUGUUGCUGAGCAUCUGUUUGUCCAUAUUGCUUUCUUCUAAGUCACAACAGGCCACCUUUUUGCAUAUGACAAGAAAAUAAAACUUCCCUGUACAAAGUUUUCAGUAGCUGAAGUCCUUUCUGACACAAGAGAUAGUACCACCCUUUGGAGAUGAGCACUGGAGUUACUUAUCAGCGAGGUCAGGCAAUUGAAAUGGUAUUGUUAAGGGUCAGCAACACCAGCUUCCUCAAACAAAUCAAAACUCUCUUCUGAUAGCAUUGUGAGCAUUGGAGAGUUGUGAUACAAGAUACUUGCAAAGUUUAAUCAGACUAUGGGAAAAAGAAGAUUAGCUUUACUGGAAGUGAAAAUGCAGCUUGAUAUGUCAAGCUCCUUCCAAUUAUGCAAAUGAAUACACAGAGCCAUUCUGCUCAGAAGUGGGUAUUAAAUUAUACUUGUGGAUAAAUAUGAAAGCAUACCUUUGUCCAUCUGUCACUAUAUAUCCUGAAACACCAUAAUUACCUCUCUCAAGCAUGGGAAGAAACAACUCAUGGCUUUUGCCUGUGCUCACAUCAUAAAAUGUUUCCCUGUGACUUUACUCAGCCUUAGCUUUACUGAACUAUGUAUUGCCUGUAGUGAAGGUAACAAAGGAAAAUCCAAUGUUUCAGCUAUGUUCUGGGCAAGAAAACUCAAGUAAAGCUCUGUAAUGAAUAUCAUAUUCACUUCAGGCAUCAGCAAAUUGACCACAGAAGCACUUAAUACGUUUAAGUAUUCCACACAAAAUGUUCUGUAAGAACAGAUUCAGAAACAAAGCAUUGGAGACUUGAGCUUUAUUUGCUCUUUAUAGCCUUUUAAAUCAUGUUUAAGACCAUCAUAUUUUCACUUGUGGGCAAAGGAAGUGUCUUGGAGAUGACUAAAACCCCUUCCCAGUGCUGGAAAAUGUUUUGAUGAUUAAAAGAAGAACCAUUAUUACCAUCAGUCAACACUAGAAAAAUUUUAUAAUUGUAGACUGUAGAGUGGGAUGCACCUCUAGCAAACUGGCAGCUCUGGUCUGG